AACACGGUGACCCUCUCCGGCCCGUUCGACGCGGCGAAGCUGUCGAAGAAGCUGCGAUGCAAGGCCUGCAAGGCGAUCAAGGACAUCAAGAUCGGCGAAGAGAAAAGGCCCGACGCCAAGAAGCCGGAGGAGAAGAAGCCGGAGGAGAAGAAACCCGAGGAGAAGAAGCCGCCGGCCGAUGGCUGCAAGUGCUGCUGCAAGAAACCCGACGAGAAGAAGCCGGAUGAGAAGAAGAAGCCCGACGAGAAGAAGCCGGAGGAGAAGAAGAAGCCCGACGAGAAGAAGCCGGAGGAGAAGAAGAAGCCCGACGAGAAGAAGCCGGAGGAGAAGCCGAAGGCCAAGGAGGAGCCCAAACCGGCCGCGCCGUCGACGACGGUGAACCUGCAGUUCACGCAGAUG
rnacentral:lncRNA from 1 species